rnacentral:lncRNA from 1 species
UCAUUACAAGUGGUGUUGGAUACUUAGGGCGUGUUUGGUUCGAAGUCGGAGUCGGAAUCGGAAUCGGAAUCAAAAUAAGCUGGAAUCGAAAUCGGAAUGGCUCAUUACCUAAUUCUGUUUGGUUCAUCACCUAAAUCGGAAUCGGAAUAAAUUAUUCCCAUUGUUGGUGUUUGGUUCAGGUGGAUAUAAAAAACGUAAUCAAAUUAAUAUACUAACAUUAUCUUUAUAAUAUAUUAAUUUAAAUUCAAAUUAAAAAUUAAAUAUUAAAAAUUUAUAUCAAAAUUUUGAAAUAGUGUCAAGAUUUUAAAUCUAUUUUUUUUUUAAAAAAUUAAACUUUGAAGUUGAAUGGAUAAUUCAAAAUAUGAAACUAAAUUUUGAUUUAUUCAAAUUCAAACUUAAAAUUACAAUUUAAAUUUUAAUUUGAAUCCAUAAAUUUAAUUUAACUUUGAAAUAAAAUUUAAAUAAAACUUCAUAUAAAUUAAAAUUUAAUUUAAAUUCAAAUUCGUAAAUUAUAUUCGAAAUACUUGAUUAAAUUUUAAUUUUUAUUUAAGUUCAAAUUAAAAUUUAAAAAUAUAUAUUUAAUUUUUAAAUUUUAACUCAUAUUUUAAUUAAAAAAGUUAAAAAAGUAAAUUUAAUCCGAAUAAAUAUUCAUUCCGUCCGGAUUCAACUUCCAAUCCAGCCUCCUAAGCCGGAUUGAAAAAAUGGGUGAUUGGGAGAUUCCCAUUCCACUCGGGAAUCGGAAUCGGAAUGAGAAUCCCGCGUACAAAACACCCACAAACGGAUUCAUUCAUUCCGAUUCCGAUUCCAGAGUAAAAAAGAAGCGAACCAAGCACGCCCUUAAAUUUCUUCUUUU